ACGUUACUCUCUGGAGCCGCUUUUGCUCACAGCAUCAUCAGCCUCACGCGGCGCUGACUGCAUCCCUGCUGCAGAAGCAGGCGUGGGUAGGGGUCAGCGUGGCACGUGGGAGCUGGAGGUCGGGGUGUGAUCUCUGGGUUGUUAGACACAUCCCUGUGGUUGAAACAUGCACGUGAAAUGACAGUGAGAUGCCUGUGUCCCCUCCGGGACAUGAGUGCACAGCCCACAACGCGAGCUCCCGGGCAGCGGCUCCAUCGUGCCUGUGGAUUGUCUUCUAGGAAUGGACCACUUCUUGUACGGCCUCUCGGAUGAGAUGAAGCAGGCCCACAGAGAGCAGCUCUUUGCUGUCAGCCACGACAAGCUCCUGGCCGUGAGCGAUAGAUACCUCGGCACUGGGAAGAGCACACACGGCCUGGCCAUCCUCGGACCCGAGAACCCGAAAAUUGCCAAGGACCCAUCCUGGAUCAUCCAAUGAGCAGCCGUGGCGCUCGACUGCACAGGAGCCCGAGACAAUACACCUCCGAGCUGAAUAUGAAAAGUCAGAAAUGCUACUGCUUUUUCCAAGAAUAUUAUGUCAUUGAGUGUCGCCAAAGCCCUUGACUGGCGAGUCAAAAACUCAGAUCUAUCUUAAGAGUGACCAGGAAGAGGUUCAUUGAAAUAAUCAUGCAUGAAGCGCCAAAGAUGCACCAUGUAGAAUUUUCACUUUGUACUGGCAGGCUCGUUUUACCUCAUUCUAGAAUAUUUAAGAAUCUAAAAAUAAAGGGCAACUCUGACUUAA
rnacentral:lncRNA from 1 species